UAUCAACGCAGAUUACAUAUCACUCCAUCAAAAAUUCUGUAAUCACAGAAUACAGACCACUACCCCCAUUUAUUGAGCUGGCUAUGUCACGGCCAUUUAUCCAAUAGAAGCUAUUUAUAAGGACAUUUUAUUGUAAACAAGUGCAAAUGCAAUAAAUAUCUAUUAAAACUCAGGAAAUAAAUUAAAUGUUUAAAUUUUAGACAGCAUCUAUAAAUAUAAUUUAAAGUCGAGGUAAAAUUUAUGUGUUUACAAAAUAUUCAAGUUACGUGUAUCGAUUAUAAAACCGACGACAAAGUGAUUUUUUAAAAUUUUUGAGAGCCAUUUUAAGUAAAGACGCUUCGUAAAACAAAAGGAUAAUAUCCAUUAAUUGGUAAAAAAAGAUAAAAUGAUGGGUGAAAACUAGGUAAAAAGAUAAAAAAAAACUACAAUAUUGUCAAAUAUUGUACAUACAAAUCCCUCAUGACGUCAUCAGCUGGCAGUUCUUGAAGAAGUGCAGGUGGUUCUG